GGUCUGAGGCAAUUAAGACCGCAGGUGUUCAUCAUUUUCCUUUCCGGUGUUGGUGACCGACAGGGCCGCCUGUCCCACGGGGGCCAGCCAUGAGACAGAGGAAGGCCAGCGAUCCGUACUGGGCUUUAUAUCCAUAUGUAGGUGAAGGAACAGAGAAGAAUCUGGAAGGAGACGCACCAGACUGGUGCCAAAGCAGGCCACACGGCCAAACUCAAAGUCACAGGCGAAGAGCGAUAUCCUGCCUCUUCAGUGGAAGACACCACAAAGCCUCACGAUGGAGCGUGGCUGUAAGGAGAGGCGAAGACUUGGGACCAUGAACGCAAUCUG